UACGUAGGAGGCGAGCGUUGUCCGGAAUCAUUGGGCGUAAAGAGCUCGUAGGCGGUUUGUUGCGUCGGCUGUGAAAUCCCGAGGCUCAACCUCGGGUCUGCAGUCGAUACGAGCAAACUAGAGUGUUGCAGGGGAGACUGGAAUUCCUGGUGUAGCGGUGAAAUGCGCAGAUAUCAGGAGGAACACCGGUGGCGAAGGCGGGUCUCUGGGCAACAACUGACGCUGAGGAGCGAAAGCGUGGGGAGCGAAUAGG
rnacentral:rRNA from 1 species